GACGAACGCUGGCGGCGUGCCUAAUACAUGCAAGUAGAACGCUGAAGGAGGAGCUUGCUUCUCUGGAUGAGUUGCGAACGGGUGAGUAACGCGUAGGUAACCUGCCUGGUAGCGGGGGAUAACUAUUGGAAACGAUAGCUAAUACCGCAUAAGAGUAGAUGUUGCAUGACAUUUGCUUAAAAGGUGCAAUUGCAUCACUACCAGAUGGACCUGCGUUGUAUUAGCUAGUUGGUGGGGUAACGGCUCACCAAGGCGACGAUACAUAGCCGACCUGAGAGGGUGCUCGGCCAAACUGGGACUGAGACACGGCCCAGACUCCUACGGGAGGCAGCAGUAGGGAAUCUUCGGCAAUGGACGGAAGUCUGACCGAGCAACGCCGCGUGAGUGAAGAAGGUUUUCGGAUCGUAAAGCUCUGUUGUAAGAGAAGAACGAGUGUGAGAGUGGAAAGUUCACACUGUGACGGUAUCUUACCAGAAAGGGACGGCUAACUACGUG
rnacentral:rRNA from 1 species